UGAAGAGGUGGCUGAGUGGUUUAAAGCGAUAGACUGUAAAUCUAUUUUAUCAAUUCGGGGGUUCGAAUCCUUCCCUCUUC
rnacentral:tRNA from 1 species